rnacentral:ncRNA from 1 species
UCCUGCCCAGUGCUCUGAAUGUCAAAGAAAAGAAAUUCAGUGAAAUGAGGGUAUCAGAGAGUAACCAUUAUUCUCAGGGUAGCGAAAUAACUUCAUCAUCUAAAUAGUGAUGACUAUGAAUGGA